CGUAUGACCAACCUACCUAUACGAGGAAGGGAACGUAACCGGCGAAAGUCGGACUAAUACCGCAUAAAACAGGGGCACCGCAUGGUGAUAUUUGUUAAAGAAAUUCGCUGAUAGAUGGGCAUGCGUUCCAUUAGGUAGUUGGUGAGGUAACGGCUCACCAAGCCGACGAUGGAUAGGGGAACUGAGAGGUUGGUCCCCCACACUGGUACUGAGACACGGACCAGACUCCUACGGGAGGCAGCAGUGAGGAAUAUUGGUCAAUGGGCGGGAGCCUGAACCAGCCAAGUCGCGUGAAGGAAGAAGGAUCUAUGGUUCGUAAACUUCUUUUGCAGGGGAAUAAAGUGCAGGACGUGUCCUGUUUUGUAUGUACCCUGAGAAUAAGGAUCGGCUAACUCCGUGCCAGCCGCAGC
rnacentral:rRNA from 1 species